CUCCAUUUGACGAGUCCCAAAUAGAACGAAACGCGCCUCAAACUGGAU
rnacentral:hammerhead_ribozyme from 1 species